rnacentral:tRNA from 1 species
UCCCUGAUAGCUCAGUUGGUAAAGAAUCUGGCUGCAAUGCAGGAGACCCCGGUUCGAUUCCUGGUUCGGGAA